GUUUAUUCAGUUGCGUCUGUCUCC
rnacentral:piRNA from 1 species